AAUAGGGUGGGAUGGGCUAGAACAGAUAGUACACACUUGUGCUUGGGAAGAGUUCAUGUAAUGCCCACCUAUCAUCAGUUGAUCAAUCUUAUGGGACAACGCAUCUACCUUGCUAGACAGGUCCAUGGAAUGACUUAUUUCACAAAUGGUCCCUUUUCUUUGAGAACUCGGGGGUGCUUGACGAGAACAUGAAGCAUGGUGGAGGGAGUUUUCAUUUAGAUUUUCAAAUAAUUGCCAUGCUUCAUG
rnacentral:lncRNA from 1 species